AAGUCGUAACAAGGUUUCCGUAGGUGAACCUGCGGAAGGAUCAUCAUUGAAUCUAUUCUCAAACACACCCUGUGGAUUGUGGUUGGUCGCAUGUCUCCUCUGCACAGAGGGGGUAUAGUUUAUACUCUUUGUGUACGUGUAUGCGGCCGCUACUUUUCACUGCGUUGGAUACGUUAGCUGGCAGGGCCACGGCAGGGUACGGGAGUGCAGUAUGCACUCUCUUGCCCUGCUACCUGUCUGCUCGUGUCCACGGUUUACACACUCAUACAACUACUUAAACAUAUAUAUAUUAAACAAAACAACUUUCAACAAUGGAUCUCUUGGCUCUC
rnacentral:misc_RNA from 1 species